AGGAGGAACAACCACAGUGGCGGGGCCAGCUCUGGAAACCUGGAUUCAGCUCCGGCAGGAACUCCGGAGCUCUCGGUCUGCAGGGCCUGGAGGCUCCGGGGCGGG
rnacentral:pre_miRNA from 1 species